GAGGGAGGGAGGGAGGCAUCAACAUACUGACGUGGUUCCAUAAACUGCAGGUCUCUCUCUCUCUCUUCAGCCACUCGUUUCUUUAGUCUGCCUCUAAAAGACAGGAAGACAAGCGGAGCCGGGAGGAGGAGGAGGAGUGUGUAAGGAAAUCCUGUGACUCAUGAGAAAAGAGGAUACCUGCCGUUUCACUGAUCCCAGCACAGAUUGAGAAACACUCAGCCGUAAUUGGGUAAUUUUCCCAUUUUGUCUGUCCGACGUUGGCGUCAGGAAACGCAGCAGGAGGGAGGAGGCGGGGUGAGCGCUCCCUGUCCCGGCCGCUGGUGCAGAAGCAGAAGGUCGUGAGUGGGACGGUGUCCCUCCCCAAGGUCGCCGUGCAGGUCAUCUCUCUUCUCCUCGCCGGCACCGGGCUGCACUGUAUCGAACACACCGCGUGCUAUUGUGCCGCACCGUGCCGGGUAGGAGGCAGCGCUCAUGUGAUGCUCAAAGUGAGGGGGGGGUUGGUGAAUGGCUGUCAUUCAUAAGAGCCUUCAGACACUGAUCCUGCCAGUCAGCUGCUGCUGGCCUCCUCCUGCUGCCAAACUUGUCGUCCUCGACAGGAUGCACACAGCAAAC
ensembl:lncRNA